UACGUAGGGUGCGAGCGUUGUCCGGAAUUAUUGGGCGUAAAGAGCUCGUAGGCGGUCUGUCGCGUCGAAUGUGAAAACCCGGGGCUCAACUCCGGGCUUGCAUUCGAUACGGGCAGGCUAGAGUUCGGUAGGGGAGUCUGGAAUUCCUGGUGUAGCGGUGAAAUGCGCAGAUAUCAGGAGGAACACCGGUGGCGAAGGCGGGUCUCUGGGCAGUAACUGACGCUGAGGAGCGAAAGCGUGGGGAGCAAACAGG
rnacentral:rRNA from 1 species